rnacentral:rRNA from 1 species
CCUACGGGAGGCAGCAGUGAGGAAUAUUGGUCAAUGGCCGGAAGGCUUAACCAGCCAAGCCGCGUGAGGGAGGAAGGCGCAGAGCGUCGCAGACCUCUUUUGCCGGGGGACAAAAGGCCGGACUCGUCCGGUCCUGAGGGUACCCGGAGAAAAAGCAUCGGCUAACUCCGUGCCAGCAGCCGCGGUAAUACGUAGGGGGCAAGCGUUAUCCGGAUUUACUGGGUGUAAAGGGAGCGUAGACGGUUAUGUAAGUCUGGAGUGAAAGCCCGGGGCCCAACCCCGGGACUGCUUUGGAAACUGUGUAACUGGAGUACAGGAGGGGCAGGCGGAAUUCCUGGUGUAGCGGUGAAAUGCGUAGAUAUCAGGAGGAACACCGGCGGCGAAGGCGGCCUGCUGGACUGAAACUGACGUUGAGGCUCGAAAGCGUGGGGAGCAAACAGGAUUAGAUACCCCAGUAGUC